CCCCAUGUGACCUAGUGGUUAGGAUUUCUGGCCUUCACCAAGGUGACCUAGGUUCAAUUCCUGGCUUGGGAA
rnacentral:tRNA from 1 species